GUGAUAGUCGCAGCUGAUGCAGCGACGCCGCGUGCGGGAUGGAGGCCUUCGGGUUGUAAACCGCUUUUGUUCAAGGGCAAGGCACGGUUUCAGCCGUGUUGAGUGGAUUGUUCCAAUAAACACCGGCUAACUACGUGCCAGCAGCCGCGGUAAUACGUAGGGUGCGAGCGUUAUCCGGAUUUAUUGGGCGUAAAGGGCUCGUAGGCGGUUCGUCGCGUCCGGUGUGAAAUUCCAUCGCCUAACGGUGGAUCUGCGCCGGGUACGGGCGGGCUGGAGUGCGGUAGGGGAGACUGGAAUUCCCGGUGUAACGGUGGAAUGUGUAAAUAUCGGGAAGAACACCGAUGGCCAAUGCAGGUCUCUGGGCCCUCACUGACGCUGAGGAGCGAAAGCGUGGGGAGCGAACAGGAUUAGAUACCCCUGUAGUCCAUG
rnacentral:rRNA from 1 species